GGCCGGUCCCAAGGUAGCACGUUAUCACAAUUGAUUGCUCACAGUUACAGAUCACAAAACUCUUUGCUCUACUCUGUCCUUCCCUCUCACUACGGCACUAGACUAGUCUAAA
rnacentral:sRNA from 1 species